UGGGGCGUAGCCAAGCGGUAAGGCAGCGGAUUUUGAUUCCGCCAUGCGGAGGUUCGAAUCCUCCCGCCCCAGCCA
rnacentral:tRNA from 116 species